GCGAUAUAACGUUGUUUUUAUAUUUUACCCACAGGACAUCACAGAUGGCGCUGCAGGGUUAUCGAUGGGCCCGAACAUUUUAAUAAUUUUCUUUUCGUUUUUCUAAAUUUGGUAUAUUUAAUUAUCUGCAACAUUUAUUGAAAUUAUAUUAUAUUUUAUUUAGGUUUUGGAUCAAACAAGUCGAUCGAUUGUUGUCGUUGAUUCGGCGAAUUUAUGGUUUGGUAGAUUUUUAUUUUGAUUGGCAACAUUGUUGGUUCGUGUGUCAGACUGACAGCUGGCUGAGCUGAGAGACAGGUUUUGGAAAGUGGGGACGUCGCGAGAGCGCCGGAGACUCCAUUGCCGAAACCCAAAUGUGGGCAAAUUAAAGCCACAAUGUAUUGGCGGCAUCAAGAGCCGAUGUAACCAUUUAUAUAAAUAACUUAACUGAGAUGCAACAUCACUGAAAUCCCAUCGCCUAAGGUCCAGUGGGUGGGUUUAGGUUUCAUCCGAGCGAUGCCCAACUAUCCCGGAUGAACCUAUGGGGUUUUUGUUUUCUUUAAAGUUUUAACGUUUUAAUUUUCUAACGUUUUGCAAGUUUAAUGUAAGAAGAAGUUUAUGAUUGGAUCAGAUGAUUUCAACAAUGUUUUGUGAAUGAAGAUUCCUACUGUUUUCUUCUGCGUUUGCAAGUUAUUUCAAGCUUCUUUACGGCGGAGCUUGCCUUGGUUGUUUGCACAUGGAAGCUUUUCUUUGUGCGGCGCGCAUGUGGAUGUGCCGCGCCUCUCCUUUUGUCAACACACCGGAUAAGGCCCGGUGAAGGUCUGCGAGGUUGACCGGUGGACGUGCAGCCCGCCAGCUGCGUAACAGUUGGCCCGCUGCGCCGCCAUCGUCCAGCACGCCCUGGCCUGAGCCGGCCUCAACUCAUCACCUGUACGGUAUUCCGGGACGCCUCAGGACCUUUGGGCUUACCUUUGGUCUGUUCCUCACUGGAGGCAGCAGGCUUGUCCUUAGCGGGUUCAGCCAGAACUUCGUGCGAGUGUUCGAGACUGUUCUCAUUGCUCCCCUCGCGGAUGGUGUGCGGGUCGUCGUAGUGAUGCGACCCUGACGAACUCUCUUGCGACGACAAUUGCCCGAGAGAGGAAUGCUUCGCCGUCUUCGAUAUCUUCGCAUUUCUUGAAAACGCUUUCGUGAAUGACGAGCGUAACUGUUGACACGAAAACUAUGUAUUAGAAAAAAUAUAUUGAAAGAAAAAUGAGGGCACUAUAAUCGUGCCUAAUUUGUAA